GACAGAGGCCUCAAGCGUUAGGCGGAAUCACUGGGCUUAAAGCGUGUGUAGGCGGGUCGUUAAGUACCUUGUGAAAUCCCACGGCUCACCCGUGGAACUGCUGGGUAUACUGGCGAUCUUGGGCCAUUCAGGGGCAACUGGAACAAGCGGUGGAGCGGUGAAAUGCGUAGAUAUCGGGAGGAACACCAGUGGCGAAGGCGGCUUCCUGGCCUGUUCUUGACGCUGAGGCGCGAAAGCUAGGGUAGCAAACGGG
rnacentral:rRNA from 1 species